rnacentral:lncRNA from 1 species
CUUAUUUUUUCAUGCUCUUUCAGAUAAAGCAAUAAAAAUUUUUAUUGCCAUUACCCUGAUACUUUACUUUAAAUUUCCGUGUUUGGAUGGCCUGAUCUAAACACAGGUUUCGACCAAUCAGAGCACGCGUUAUAUAUACAUGCUAUUUUAUAAAAAAUCAUAACUUUAAAAAAUACGGUAUUCCGAAUCGAAUCCCAAAUAUCCUGCAUCGGAUCCUAACUAAAAAUUCCAACUCGAAUCUAAUAGGCUUCCUCAUUCAAAAUACCCACGAAAUCUGCAUAUUUUGCGGUCAAAUGAGCAGUCGACUGAGCGGUAUUACCAGCUGUGUUCGAAUUCGUACGGUUACAUACACGCCUUCCGUUACAUACACGCCAAGGGCGAAAUCGUGAAAAUUUGAGUGUAGUCUGAGAUUACGUUCGAAUGGGACGACAGGAAAUCUGAACCGAACACAAGUUUACAUCAUUUCGAUUUGCUUGAAGCCAGACGAGUUCAAGCAAAGCCAACGGGUGUCGAUUCCCGUGUCGGUGCAUGUGUACAGUAGCGGAAUUGAACCGACGAAUUUUCGUACUGUUCCGACAUUUUCGAGUCUCGCGCAUUAAACAUAGUUUGAAAAUGUGAACAAACUUACCUGCAGGUAAUUUACUUUCGUUCUGUUAUUUCAAUGUCUAUAUAGAUCUCGUGAUCCAAGCCGUGAUGUCGUUGCGCGGAACAGCCGGAUGUCUUGGAACGCAAAAGCCUCGAGCUGUUUUUAAAGUGCGCGAUCGAUGUGCUCAUGGGCCAUGAAUUUUACUCGUCCAUGAUUUAAGAUACAGCCUAUUGCAAUUGACCGUGUGGCGUGUAUAAACUAAACAUUUGUUUAUCCUUUCAAACUUGAUGUUUUUUGGAUGAAAGUUCACGUCAUUAAAUAAUUUAAUUUAAUUUAAUUUAAUUUAAUUUAAUUUAAUUGCUUUUCCAUCAUUGUGUGAUAUAGACAAGAACACAUACGCACCCACACAACACAAACACAAAUACAAACACACUAAACUGAUGGCUGGGUAACCACAACAGCCUGAAAAACCAAUUACUGUGGGCCCAAGUCAACUAUAGUGACGUAGGGCGAAAAAACAGAUUUGCACUAGGCUUUGCAAACCGGUGCAAAGGUGCCAUUGCCGUAAUCGCAUCAAAUUUACAAGGUUGCAAAUAUUUUGGCAAAUUUAGAAACCAAAUUAUGGACGAAAAUACCCACAAAUUCACUUGUGCAAAUGAAAAGUAAUUUGAGCCAAAUUUAUCCUAUGCCCAUUCCCUCUCAAAAAAGAGAAUUGUAUUUACCAAUAUGGGGGUAAAAAUUUAUUUACCAAUUUGCUUUCCAAAUUUGAACAAAAUUUGCACAAUAGCAAAUUUGAUGCGAUUACGGCAAUGGCACCUUUGCAGGGGGUUGCAAAGUUGGAGCAAAUCUAUUUUUUCGUCCUGUAUAUAUAUAUAUAUUUUUAGUAGUUUUUAAUUAUGAACCCGGCAGCGAAGCCUUGGCGGCUUCCUGCUAUAAAACGUAGACUGUAUAAUAUGUCAUGAUGAAUGAAUAGCCGAAUAUUCCACCGGCCGCCAAUAAUUACUUUUAUCGUAGCAGUGUUCCAUAAUCAAACAUGGUUCGUAUGGUUGGCAGCCAGGCGCGCGCCCUUGUGUAAUUCUUCGAGAAAAUCAGGAAGGGCUCCGUCCUAGGCAGUUCUCAUGAUCAUAUAUCGUUCAUCGGCGAAAAAUGGAAACUAGACUGAAAAUGUAUCCAUAGCCGUACGGGAAGGAAAGAAUUAGGGGGGCAGAAAGAAGUUUGCCCGACUUUUUCGGAUUGUGCGCGACAAGUGCUGAAAAAUCUUUUUUCCGUAACAAUUUAUUUUGGCGACCUCCCCCCCGUCGCCAAAAAAAUUUCGGUCAGUGUACCAUUUUAGGGGUCCAAAAAUUUUUCGGACGUACCAAAAUUUUUCGGAACAUCUAACAAAUUUUCCCAAAAAUCGAAAAAUUUACAUAAUUUCCCACAAAAUUGACAGAAUUUGUCCCAUUUAUUUUUAUAAUAACCAA